rnacentral:lncRNA from 1 species
GUGUCUGGAACCUUUAUGUCCUACAAAGAGCACAUGGAGGAGGAGGAUGUCCUCAAGUUCCUUGCAGCAGGAACCCACUUAGGGGGCACCACCCUUCACUUUCAGAUGGAAUAUGUAUCUAUAAAAGAAAAAGUGAUGGCAUCUGCAUCAUCAAUUUGAAGAGGACCUGGGAGAAGCUUCUACUGGCAGCUCCUUCUGUUGUUGCCAUUGAAAACUGUAUUGAUGUCAGUGAUAUAUCCUCUAGGAAUGCUGGCUGGCAGCCUGUGCUGAAGUUUGCUACCACCACUGGAGCCACUCCUGUUGCUGGUUGCUUGACUCUUGGAACCUUCACUAACCAAGUCCAGGCAGCUUUCCAGGAGCUGUGCCUUCUGAUGGUUAUUGAUCCCAAGGCUGACCACCAACCUUUCACAGAGACAUCUUAGUUAACCUGCCGACCAUUACUCUGUGUAACAGAUUCUCUGCACUGUGUGGACAUUGGCAUCCCAUGCAGCAACAAGGGAGCUCUCUCAGGGGGUCCAAUGUGGUAGAUGUUGGCCCUGGGAAGUUCUGCAAACGCAUGGCACCACCUCCUGUGAACACCCAUGGUAGAUUAUGUCUGGUCUCUACUUCUGCAGAGAUUCUGAAGAGAUUGAAAAAGAAGAGCAG